GACAGAGGGGGCAAGCGUUGCUCGGAAUUACUGGGCGUAAAGGGCGCGUAGGCGGGAUGGCAAGUCGGUCGUGAAAUCCCUCGGCUCAACCGAGGAACGUCGAUCGAUACUGCUGUUCUUGAGGAUUGCAGAGGAGACUGGAAUUCCCGGUGUAGCGGUGAAAUGUGUAGAGAUCGGGAGGAACACCGGUGGCGAAGGCGGGUCUCUGGGCAAUUCCUGACGCUGAGGAGCGAAAGCAUGGGGAGCGAACAGG
rnacentral:rRNA from 1 species